CUACGGGUUGCUGCAGUGAGGAAUAUUGCACAAUGGGGGAAACCCUGAUGCAGCAACGCCGCGUGGAGGAUGACGCAUUUCGGUGUGUAAACUCCUUUUAUCAGAGAAGAAAAUGACGGUAUCUGAUGAAUAAGCUCCGGCUAACUCCGUGCCAGCAGCCGCGGUAAUACGGAGGGAGCAAGCGUUAUUCGGAAUCACUGGGCGUAAAGGACGCGUAGGCGGGUUUUUAAGUCAGGUGUGAAAUCCUAUGGCUCAACCAUAGAACUGCACUUGAAACUGGGGGCCUAGAGUAUGGAAGGGGCAGGUGGAAUUAGUGGUGUAGGGGUAAAAUCCGUAGAUAUCACUAGGAAUACCGAAAGCGAAGGCGACCUGCUGGGACAUUACUGACGCUGAGGCGUGAAAGCGUGGGGAGCAAACAGGAUUAGAUACCCCUGUAGUC
rnacentral:rRNA from 1 species